rnacentral:rRNA from 1 species
UUAAGCGACUAAGCGUACACGGUGGAUGCCCUGGCAGUCAGAGGCGAUGAAGGACGUGCUAAUCUGCGAUAAGCGUCGGUGAGGUGAUAUGAACCGUUAUAACCGGCGAUUUCCGAAUGGGGAAACCCAGUGUGUUUCGACACACUAUCAUUAACUGAAUCCAUAGGUUAAUGAGGCGAACCGGGGGAACUGAAACAUCUAAGUACCCCGAGGAAAAGAAAUCAACCGAGAUUCCCCCAGUAGCGGCGAGCGAACGGGGAGGAGCCCAGAGCCUGAAUCAGUGUGUGUGUUAGUGGAAGCGUCUGGAAAGGCGCGCGAUACAGGGUGACAGCCCCGUACACAAAAAUGCACAUAUUGUGAGCUCGAUGAGUAGGGCGGGACACGUGGUAUCCUGUCUGAAUAUGGGGGGACCAUCCUCCAAGGCUAAAUACUCCUGACUGACCGAUAGUGAACCAGUACCGUGAGGGAAAGGCGAAAAGAACCCCGGCGAGGGGAGUGAAAAAGAACCUGAAACCGUGUACGUACAAGCAGUGGGAGCCUCUUAAUGGGGUGACUGCGUACCUUUUGUAUAAUGGGUCAGCGACUUAUAUUCUGUAGCAAGGUUAACCGAAUAGGGGAGCCGAAGGGAAACCGAGUCUUAACUGGGCGUUAAGUUGCAGGGUAUAGACCCGAAACCCGGUGAUCUAGCCAUGGGCAGGUUGAAGGUUGGGUAACACUAACUGGAGGACCGAACCGACUAAUGUUGAAAAAUUAGCGGAUGACUUGUGGCUGGGGGUGAAAGGCCAAUCAAACCGGGAGAUAGCUGGUUCUCCCCGAAAGCUAUUUAGGUAGCGCCUCGUGAAUUCAUCUCCGGGGGUAGAGCACUGUUUCGGCAAGGGGGUCAUCCCGACUUACCAACCCGAUGCAAACUGCGAAUACCGGAGAAUGUUAUCACGGGAGACACACGGCGGGUGCUAACGUCCGUCGUGAAGAGGGAAACAACCCAGACCGCCAGCUAAGGUCCCAAAGUCAUGGUUAAGUGGGAAACGAUGUGGGAAGGCCCAGACAGCCAGGAUGUUGGCUUAGAAGCAGCCAUCAUUUAAAGAAAGCGUAAUAGCUCACUGGUCGAGUCGGCCUGCGCGGAAGAUGUAACGGGGCUAAACCAUGCACCGAAGCUGCGGCAGCGACACUAUGUGUUGUUGGGUAGGGGAGCGUUCUGUAAGCCUGUGAAGGUGGCCUGUGAGGGUUGCUGGAGGUAUCAGAAGUGCGAAUGCUGACAUAAGUAACGAUAAAGCGGGUGAAAAGCCCGCUCGCCGGAAGACCAAGGGUUCCUGUCCAACGUUAAUCGGGGCAGGGUGAGUCGACCCCUAAGGCGAGGCCGAAAGGCGUAGUCGAUGGGAAACAGGUUAAUAUUCCUGUACUUGGUGUUACUGCGAAGGGGGGACGGAGAAGGCUAUGUUGGCCGGGCGACGGUUGUCCCGGUUUAAGCGUGUAGGCUGGUUUUCCAGGCAAAUCCGGAAAAUCAAGGCUGAGGCGUGAUGACGAGGCACUACGGUGCUGAAGCGACAAAUGCCCUGCUUCCAGGAAAAGCCUCUAAGCAUCAGGUAACAUCAAAUCGUACCCCAAACCGACACAGGUGGUCAGGUAGAGAAUACCAAGGCGCUUGAGAGAACUCGGGUGAAGGAACUAGGCAAAAUGGUGCCGUAACUUCGGGAGAAGGCACGCUGAUAUGUAGGUGAAGCGACUUGCUCGUGGAGCUGAAAUCAGUCGAAGAUACCAGCUGGCUGCAACUGUUUAUUAAAAACACAGCACUGUGCAAACACGAAAGUGGACGUAUACGGUGUGACGCCUGCCCGGUGCCGGAAGGUUAAUUGAUGGGGUUAGCGGUAACGCGAAGCUCUUGAUCGAAGCCCCGGUAAACGGCGGCCGUAACUAUAACGGUCCUAAGGUAGCGAAAUUCCUUGUCGGGUAAGUUCCGACCUGCACGAAUGGCGUAAUGAUGGCCAGGCUGUCUCCACCCGAGACUCAGUGAAAUUGAACUCGCUGUGAAGAUGCAGUGUACCCGCGGCAAGACGGAAAGACCCCGUGAACCUUUACUAUAGCUUGACACUGAACAUUGAGCCUUGAUGUGUAGGAUAGGUGGGAGGCUUUGAAGUGUGGACGCCAGUCUGCAUGGAGCCGACCUUGAAAUACCACCCUUUAAUGUUUGAUGUUCUAACGUGGGCCCCUUACCGGGGUUGCGGACAGUGUCUGGUGGGUAGUUUGACUGGGGCGGUCUCCUCCUAAAGAGUAACGGAGGAGCACGAAGGUUGGCUAAUCCUGGUCGGACAUCAGGAGGUUAGUGCAAUGGCAUAAGCCAGCUUGACUGCGAGCGUGACGGCGCGAGCAGGUGCGAAAGCAGGUCAUAGUGAUCCGGUACCUCGGUAUGCCUUGUGACUGGCUUGACAAGCUUUUCCUCCGCUCCGUAAACUCCUUUUAGUGGGAAAUUGUGGGGCAAAGUGGGAAUAAGGGGUGAGGCUGGCAUGUUCCGGGGAGCAACGUUAGUCAAUCUCGACAGCAAAGGGCGCUUAUCAGUGCCUACCCGUUAUCGGGAACAGCUGCUUGAGAACGCUGCCGGUCAAAUGGUUUGCACCAUUGACAUUCAUCACCCGUGCCUGCUGCUUUACCCCCUGCCUGAAUGGGAAAUUAUCGAGCAAAAAUUAUCGCGUCUGUCGAGCAUGAACCCGGUUGAGCGCCGUGUGCAGCGCCUACUGUUAGGUCAUGCCAGCGAAUGUCAGAUGGAUGGCGCAGGUCGAUUGUUAAUCGCGCCAGUACUGCGGCAACAUGCCGGGCUGACAAAAGAAGUGAUGCUG